GAAGCCGUCUGGACGCCGCGUCCUGGGAACUGCUACAGGCUCAAGCUGUCUCUUUAAAUGCGGCUCCUGAAAUAUUACUCCGAAGGUUCUCAUUGUAAUGGUGCCACCUGCAGAGCAAAUCCCUGUGGUGCAAGGAGCACCUGGGGCAACUUUUUAGCGCUGAAAAGUGAUAUGUUCCAAUGAGAUCAGCUAUUGACCACCCUAACCCAUUCAUAAUUAUAUAUCCCAGCUGUUCCUGAGAGGUAAAGUAGCAAACUUGUGAAACUUUUCUUGUUUCAACCCUUUGCUAUUCUAACAUUGAUUCUUGAGCACAAAAAAGAAAUAGACUUUCCUUUUUCUUUGUGAAGUAUUUUC
rnacentral:lncRNA from 1 species